rnacentral:rRNA from 1 species
GUCGUCAGCUCGUGCCGUGAGGGUGUUGGGGUUAAGUCCCGGCAACGAGCGCAACCCUCAUUGUUAGUUACUACCAUUCAGUUGAGGAACUCUAAUGAGACUGCCAACGACAAGUUGGAGGAAGGUGGGGAUGACGUCAAAUCAUCAUGCCCUUUAUGACCUGGGCUACAAACGUACUACGAUGGCCAAUACAAAGAGAUGCGAAGCGGUGACGUGGAGCGAACCUCAGAAAGUUGGUCUCAGUUCAGAUUGAAGUCUGCAACUCGACUUCAUGAAGGCGGAAUCGCUAGUAAUCGCGAGUCAGCAGAUCGCGGUGAAUACGUUCCCGGGUUUU